rnacentral:lncRNA from 1 species
CCAGUCAGGACACAGCAUGGACAUGAGGGUCCCCGCUCAGCUCCUGGGGCUCCUGCUGCUCUGUUUCCCAGGUGCCAGAUGUGCCAUCCAGUUGACCCAGUCUCCAUCCUCCCUGUCUGCAUCUGUAGGAGACAGAGUCACCAUCACUUGCCGGGCAAGUCAGGGCAUUAGCAAUAGAUUAAAUUGGUAUCAGCAGAAACCAGGGAAAGCUCCUAAGCUCCUGAUCUAUGAUGCCUCCAGUUUGGAAAGUGGGGUCCCAUCAAGGUUCAGCGGCAGUGGAUCUGGGACAGAUUUCACUCUCACCAUCAGCAGCCUGCAGCCUGAAGAUUUUGCAACUUAUUACUGUCAACAGUUUAAUAGUUACCCU